rnacentral:ncRNA from 1 species
CAGCAAACUGACCGCGGGCGGUACAGCACGGGCUCUUGGGGGAGGGAGGGGGGAGGGUGGUUCAUGCAGUGCAACGCUUGUUGAAAUAUGACCGUUACAACUGCGUAUCACUUCGUUCCCUUGCGAUGUUGAUUCUUCGGUCGGCGCUAAAUAGUCAGCUUAGAACUGGCACGGAUUCGGGAAUCCGACUGUUUAAUUGAAACAGAGAAGACAGAUGCCCUUGCGGGUGUUGACUGUAUCUGAUUUCUGCCCAGUGCUUCGAAUGUAAAAGUGAAGAAAUUCAACUGAGCGCGGGUAAUCGACGAGAGUAAUUAGAGGUGACAAGGAGUAGGGAGGAGAGUCCCUUCCUCCCUGGAACUGUGCAAAAACCAGGGAAGGAGUUGUGAGAUUGCUACUC